rnacentral:rRNA from 1 species
UACGUAGGGGGCUAGCGUUGUCCGGAAUCAUUGGGCGUAAAGCGCGCGUAGGCGGCCCAGUAAGUCCGUUGUAAAAGUCAAAGGCUCAACCUUUGAAAGCCGAUGGAUACUGCUGGGCUAGAGUCCGGAAGAGGCGAGUGGAAUUCCUGGUGUAGCGGUGAAAUGCGUAGAUAUCAGGAGGAACACCGGUGGCGAAGGCGCACAUCUGGCCCGAUACUGACGCUGAGGCGCGAAAGCUAGGGGAGCAAACGGG